rnacentral:rRNA from 1 species
UACAGAGGGGGCAAGCGUUGUUCGGAAUUACUGGGCGUAAAGGGCGCGUAGGCGGCCUGCUAAGUCGAACGUGAAAUCCCUGGGCUCAACCCAGGAACUGCGUCCGAUACUGGUUGGCUUGAAUCCGGGAGAGGGAUGUGGAAUUCCAGGUGUAGCGGUGAAAUGCGUAGAUAUCUGGAGGAACACCGGUGGCGAAGGCGGCAUCCUGGACCGAGAUUGACGCUGAUGCGCGAAAGCCAGGGGAGCAAACGGG